UGUUUCCGGUACGUGAACCUGCAGAUGGAUCAUC
rnacentral:rRNA from 1 species